GGGAAGUCGUGGAAUUACGUUCGUGGAAACCUCGUGAUUGAAUCCGAUUGUUUCUGAUUGUGAUACCUGUUCGUGGAGGGUGCUGGGCGUCCUGGAUCCGCUGGCUUCCCCCUGCUUCCCCAGGAGGAGAGCUCCCGCUUCUUUCUUUCUGCCACGAAUCCGGUUUAAAUUGAUCUUCUGUGGGAAUACGGUGACGAGGGGGCGCAGGGAGCAGAGCCUUCCCCUGGCUCUCUCGGCUCCUGCACGGCAGGCGGCAUGGGCGCGGGAGGUGUCCCUGGCCCACCUCCGUGAUCUCCGCUUCUCCCCGGAAAAGAAAGAAGCUUUAGGUUCUGCAAACGGCCCCUGGUUCCCAGUGCGAGUCCUGCAGUCCCAGGGGCACGAGGGCGCUGCCUCCCGGGCACCGCGGGUGGGAGAGGCGGGACCUGCAGGCAGGCGGCACACGGGCCGGGGCUCCGCAGCCAAGAGCCCGGGGCUUCCGCAAGGCAGACGCGGGAAACCCAGAGCCUGACGGGAAGCAGCGCGGCCGGGCCACACAGCAUGGCUCUGGGACGGUGCCGCCACCAGCUGAGGGGUCCUACCUGCUAACAGACUCCGUUUGCUUCCCCCAAGACUGUGAGUCGGCUCCUGGCUGAGGUGUGCGGGCAAGGACGGGUCCAGGGUCCUCACGGAGGCUGCACACCCGUGACGGAGACGGUUGGUAAACGGGGGGCAGCUGCCGCGCCCGCAGCACUCAGAAGGCAUCGCGGGGCCAACACAUGGCCCUGGGGGGAGGGAGGGCCGCAUGGGGGCCUUCAAGAGGAGGUGUGCCCGCACUGGGGUUUUGAAGGCCAAACAGGAGUUUGCCAGGCAAAGUGUGGAGAAGGCCUCCCGGACCAAGGUGGCUGCGUGGGCAAGGCCAAGGUCACUCCGGGGCACGUGGGGGCCCCAGGGAGCCGGGAGGAGGCGGCGUGCAGGUGCUCACUGUGGCAGAGCCCCUCGGGGCUGCGGGGCGGGGGGGCCCAGGCGCAGGAACAGCCGGCCAGGGUGGCUGGAGCCCCCAGGAAGAGCAGGGCCGGGUUCUAGACACUGUCGGGAGCACGGCCCAGAGGUCAGCUCUGCCAGCAGGGCCCUGGGGAAGCGCUGGGGGCCGGUCCGGACAAGCCCCUGGUGCCAUGAGCUCCCCACGCCACAGCCGCCCCGCCCGCACCUCUCCCCAGCUGCCCCACCUGCCGGGCCCGCGCGGAGCCCCGCACACCCUGGCCCGGGCCCUGCUCGGAGCCCACGUCCACGCGACUGCGGCUCCCAGGCGCUGACGCCCCCGCCGCGAGCGCUCCCCCUUCACACAGGCCUCCGCGGGCUCUUGACCCAAGUCUCCAUCUUCAAAAUGUAUUUAUUCAUGAGAGAGAGAGGCAGAGGGAGAAGCAGGCUCCCCACAGGGACCCUGACGCGGGACUCGAUCCCGGGACCCCAAGAUCACGCCCUGAGCACCCCCGUGCCCCACAUUCUCCACUUCAACAGGCACCGGAGAGGUUGGAGGGCCUUCCUGGCAGCAGAGGCCCUUCCCAGGAGCAGCCGGUGGCACCUUUGCUCCCCCGGUCAGCGCCCAGGGCCUCGGCGGGGAGACGGAACUGCCUCUCCGUGGGACACGGGGGUCCGAGGCCCUGUGCCAUUUGGGGAGAGGAAGAAAGAACAAGGGGAAGGACUCUUCAGCAACAGCAGGAACAGCAGAGCAACGCCCUGGACACAUGAACAUCCUGAGAGGCUUCUAGAAGCUGGGGGCCGACGAGCACAGAAUGAGAAGCCCGUGGGCGUCGGGGUCUGCGACCCAGCAGGCACAGUCUAG
ensembl:lncRNA